rnacentral:rRNA from 1 species
GACGAACGCUGGCGGCGUGCUUAACACAUGCAAGUCGAACGGUGAACGAGGGAGCUUGCUCCCUCCGGAUCAGUGGCGAAAGGGUGAGUAACACGUGAGCAAUCUGCCCCGAACUCUGGGAUAAGCGUUGGAAACGACGUCUAAUACCGGAUACGACGCGGGAGGGCAUCCUCUCCGCGUGGAAAGAACUUCGGUUCGGGAUGAGCUCGCGGCCUAUCAGCUUGUUGGUGAGGUAACGGCUCACCAAGGCGACGACGGGUAGCCGGCCUGAGAGGGUGACCGGCCACACUGGGACUGAGACACGGCCCAGACUCCUACGGGAGGCAGCAGUGGGGAAUAUUGCACAAUGGGCGCAAGCCUGAUGCAGCAACGCCGCGUGAGGGACGACGGCCUUCGGGUUGUAAACCUCUUUUAGCAGGGAAGAAGCGAAAGUGACGGUACCUGCAGAAAAAGCACCGGCUAACUACGUG